AUUGAACGCUGGCGGCAGGCCUAACACAUGCAAGUAGAACGAGUGGCGGACGGGUGAGUAAUGUCUGGGAAACUGCCUGAGGGAGGGGGAUAACUCUUAGCAACGGUAGCUAAUACCGCAUACCAUCGGAUGUGCCCAGAUGGGAUUAGCUAGUAGGUGGGGUAAAGGCUCAACUAGGCGACGCUCCCUAGCUGGUCUGAGAGGGUGACCAGCCACACUGGAACUGAGACACGGUCCAGACUCCUACGGGAGGCAGCAGUGGGGAAUAUUGCACAACGGGCGCAAGCCUGAUUCAGCCAUGCCGCGUGUAUGAAGAAGGCCUUCGGGUUGUAAAGUACUUUCAGCGGUGAGGCGUUACCCGCAGAAGAAGCACCGGCUAACUCCGUGCCAGCAGCCGCGGUAAUAC
rnacentral:rRNA from 1 species